rnacentral:rRNA from 1 species
CUAACACAUGCAAGCCGAGCGGUAGAGAUUCUUCGGAAUCUUGAGAGCGGCGUACGGGUGCGGAACACGUGUGCAACCUGCCUUUAUCAAGGGGAUAGCCUUUCGAAAGGAAGAUUAAUACCCUAUAAUAUAUUGACUGGCAUCAGUUAAUAUUGAAAACUACGGUGGAUAAAGAUGGGCACGCGCAAGAUUAGCUAGUUGGUGAGGUAACGGCUCACCAAGGCGACGAUCUUUAGGGGGCCUGAGAGGGUGAUCCCCCACACUGGUACUGAGACACGGACCAGACUCCUACGGGAGGCAGCAGUGAGGAAUAUUGGACAAUGGGUGAAAGCCUGAUCCAGCCAUCCCGCGUGUAGGAAGACGGCCCUAUGGGUUGUAAACUACUUUUAUCUGGGGAUAAACCUACUUACGUGUAAGUAGCUGAAGGUACCAGAUGAAUAAGCACCGGCUAACUCCGUGCCAGCAGCCGCGGUAAUACGGNAGGGUGCAAGCGUUAUCCGGAUUUAUUGGGUUUAAAGGGUCCGUAGNGCGGACUGAUAAGUCAGUGGUGAAAUCCGACAGCUUAACUGUCGAACUGCCAUUGAUACUGUUAGUCUUGAGUAAGGUUGAAGUGGCUGGAAUAAGUAGUGUAGCGGUGAAAUGCAUAGAUAUUACUUAGAACACCAAUUGCGAAGGCAGGUCACUAAGUCUUAACUGACGCUGAUGGACGAAAGCGUGGGGAGCGAACAGGAUUAGAUACCCUGGUAGUCCACGCCGUAAACGAUGAUUACUCGUUUUU